rnacentral:rRNA from 1 species
AGGCUUUGAAGUGUGGACGCCAGUCUGCAUGGAGCCGACCUUGAAAUACCACCCUUUAAUGUUUGAUGUUCUAACGUGGACCCGUGAUCCGGGUUGCGGACAGUGUCUGGUGGGUAGUUUGACUGGGGCGGUCUCCUCCUAAAGAGUAACGGAGGAGCACGAAGGUUGGCUAAUCCUGGUCGGACAUCAGGAGGUUAGUGCAAUGGCAUAAGCCAGCUUGACUGCGAGCGUGACGGCGCGAGCAGGUGCGAAAGCAGGUCAUAGUGAUCCGGUGGUUCUGAAUGGAAGGGCCAUCGCUCAACGGAUAAAAGGUACUCCGGGGAUAACAGGCUGAUACCGCCCAAGAGUUCAUAUCGACGGCGGUGUUUGGCACCUCGAUGUCGGCUCAUCACAUCCUGGGGCUGAAGUAGGUCCCAAGGGUAUGGCUGUUCGCCAUUUAAAGUGGUACGCGAGCUGGGUUUAGAACGUCGUGAGACAGUUCGGUCCCUAUCUGCCGUGGGCGCUGGAGAACUGAGGGGGGCUGCUCCUAGUACGAGAGGACCGGAGUGGACGCAUCACUGGUGUUCGGGUUGUCAUGCCAAUGGCACUGCCCGGUAGCUAAAUGCGGAAGAGA